CGGUGCUCUACUGUGUGACACAACGUGAAUCAAGGACAGUACUGUGACGUGAAUAAACUGCACUACUGUGACAUGACGUGAAUAAGAUGAAUUCAGGGCUGGUAGCACGACGUCACAGGAGGCGGGACAGGCGCCGCCAAGCUGUACCACCACCACCACCACCUGCUGCGCUGCCAG